rnacentral:rRNA from 1 species
GAUGAACGCUGGCGGCGUGCCUAAUACAUGCAAGUCGAGCGAACAGACGAGGAGCUUGCUCCUCUGACGUUAGCGGCGGACGGGUGAGUAACACGUGGAUAACCUACCUAUAAGACUGGGAUAACUUCGGGAAACCGGAGCUAAUACCGGAUAAUAUAUUGAACCGCAUGGUUCAAUAGUGAAAGACGGUUUUGCUGUCACUUAUAGAUGGAUCCGCGCCGCAUUAGCUAGUUGGUAAGGUAACGGCUUACCAAGGCAACGAUGCGUAGCCGACCUGAGAGGGUGAUCGGCAACACUGGAACUGAGACACGGUCCAGACUCCUACGGGAGGAAGCAGUAGGGAAUCUUCCGCAAUGGGCGAAAGCCUAACGGAGCACCGCCGCGUGGGUGAUGAAGGUCUUCGGAUCGUAAAACUCUGUUAUUAGGGAAGAACAAAUGUGUAAGUACCUAUGCACGUCUUGACGGUACCUAAUCAGAAAGCCACGGCUAACUACGU